rnacentral:rRNA from 1 species
UACGUAGGCAGCAAGCGUUGUUCGGAGUUACUGGGCGUAAAGGGUGCGUAGGCGGCUUUUUAAGUUUGGUGUGAAAUCUCCCGGCUCAACUGGGAGGGUGCGCCGAAUACUGAGAGGCUAGAGUGUGGGAGAGGAAAGUGGAAUUCCUGGUGUAGCGGUGAAAUGCGCAGAUAUCAGGAGGAACACCGGUGGCGAAGGCGGGUCUCUGGGGCCGAUACUGACGCUGAGGAGCGAAAGCGUGGGGAGCGAACAGG